UCGCUCCGCUGUCAGCGGCACGGCCAGCAUCCGGCACCCCGGGGAGCCGUGCAGCACCGCCGGGGCAUGCCGGGCCUUGUAGUCCUUCCUUCUCUCCCCCCCCCGCCUUCUCGUUUCUCUUCCCUCCUUCCUUUUUUCCCCCCCCCCCGCCCCUUCUCCUCUCCCCGCUUUUCUCCUCCCCGUCGGCGCGAAGCGGGGAGGGGCGCGCAAGGGGCGCGCAUCUCCGCGCUCUGCUUGGGGAGGGGGGAUUCAAUUUGUUUUUUUUUUUUUUUUUGGGGGGGGAGGCAUCCACCCGGAGGGUGUUUUGCCCCCCCCCCCCCCUCCCCAACCCCCCGGGAUGCCCACCCCCCCACACAAGUGGGAUGCACGGGGCAUUGCUGCCCUCUCCCGGGUUGCACCCGCACUGCGCUCCCCGGUAGGAUGCGGGGUUUGGGGGGCACGCAGGCAGCCCGCAGACCCCCCCCCCUCCCCGCCCCAAUCCUCGGUCCGAAUUUCCCCCGUGGCACACCCCCUUGAAGCCACCUAAUUAGCCUUUUUUUUUUUUUUUUUUUUUUUUCCACUUAAUUAUUAUUAUUUUUUAAGUUAGCCGUGGCUAGGGCCUGGCAGCGCUGGAAACUUCCCCUCUGUUUGCUAACACCCCGCUCCCCCACCCCCAGGGCACGGUGCUGUGCAGGGGUCCCCCCUUGGCUAUGUCCCCCUUGGCACAGAGGGGACCCCGGGGGGGCGCAGGUGGUGACCAAAACCACCCAGGACGGUGGUGGCAGGGCGGGGAGAUGUCCCCCAGCUGCCAUCGUGCCCCGUGACCUCCCUCCUCGUGGCUCCUCGAGCAUCCUCAGCGCCUUCCCUCCAAGGCUGCGCCGAUGUUAAUGCUCCCAGAUACAAUAUAAUUAACGCGGAUAAUGCCGCUGAUGUUUGUUGUGACACCGUGGUUUUGUGAGUGACGAGUGAAGGGUUAACUCCAGGGAAUUGGGAAUAUUGCUCGGCUGCUAAUAACACGUGAGUCAUCGAUGAAAUAACACAUGGGUGCAGGGAGACACGCAGCACCUGGCUUCACAGCAGCCCUCUGCCUCACCGCCGUGCUGCACGUUGGGUUUUCAUCUGUGGUCGGGGAUCAACAGGCGGCAGGGAGGGAAUCGGCGCUCAGGAGACGUGCCGGGCUCCCCAGCUCCGCCGCCAGACUGGGACAAACUGGUUGAACUGGGGUCGGAUGGAGAGCUGCCUUCCAGCAUGGACGCAUCGCCGCGCUUCGUAUCCGAAAUGCCAGCAGCUGCAUCCCUGGGCUCUGCUCACCCCAGCAGGCUCGGAUUUGGGAACGGGGUGAGGACGGGGACCCAUCUGCAUCGCUCCCAGCUCCUGCAAACCCUGCGGAGAGGAGGCCCGGCGCUCCAGCCCGGUCAGCAGAGGAAUCUGCACACGCAGACAGGAUCGCUGCAAUUGCUGGUGGCUGAGGAUGGUUCAAACCUGAGGAGGAUCCCUCCCCGCUCGCCUCGCGGGGCUCUGCACCGUAUGAAUAUUGCAGGGGCCGUGCCUUGAUGUUACCUGCCCCGGGUGCCGUGGGACAGCAGGACAGGGGGGAUGCCUCGCGUGCGCGGGGAGAGAAGGAGGUCGUGCAGAAAACAUUACGCUGCAAGCAGAAUGGGUUGGAAUGUAAAAGAUUUAUUAAUUUAAUCCGAAGCAUUAAAAGGUCAUGUAUUAAUCAAA